GGAUGAACGCUAGCUACAGGCUUAACACAUGCAAGUCCAUUUGCAGCAUUUCAGUUUGCUUGCAAACUGGAGAUGGCGACCGGCGCACGGGUGAGUAACACGUAUCCAACCUGCCGAUAACUCGGGGAUAGCCUUUCGAAAGAAAGAUUAAUACCCGAUGGCAUAAUUAGACCGCAUGGUCUUAUUAUUAAAGAAUUUCGGUUAUCGAUGGGGAUGCGUUCCAUUAGGCAGUUGGUGAGGUAACGGCUCACCAAACCUUCGAUGGAUAGGGGUUCUGAGAGGAAGGUCCCCCACAUUGGAACUGAGACACGGUCCAAACUCCUACGGGAGGCAGCAGUGAGGAAUAUUGGUCAAUGGGCGCAGGCCUGAACCAGCCAAGUAGCGUGAAGGAUGACUGCCCUAUGGGUUGUAAACUUCUUUUAUAUGGGAAUAAAGUUUUCCACGUGUGGAAUUUUGUAUGUACCCUAUGAAUAAGGAUCGGCUAACUCCGGGCCCAGCAGCCCGCGGCAAGACGGAGGAUUCGAAGGCGUUAUCCGGAAUUUAUGGGGUUUAAAGGGAGCGUAGGUGGCCAGUUAAGUCAGUUGUGAAAGUUUGCGGCUCAACCGUAAAAUUGCAGUUGAUACUGGCUGUCUUGAGUACAGUAGAGGUGGGGGGAAUUUCGUGGUGUAGCGGUGAAAUGCUUAGAUAUCACGAAGAACUCCGAUUGCGAAGGCAGCUCACUGGACUGCAACUGACACUGAUGCUCGAAAGUGUGGGUAUCAAACAGGAUUAGAUACCCUGGUAGUCCACACAGUAAACGAUGAAUACUCGCUGUUUGCGAUAUACAGUAAGCGGCCAAGCGAAAGCAUUAAGUAUUCCACCUGGGGAGUACGCCGGCAACGGUGAAACUCAAAGGAAUUGACGGGGGCCCGCACAAGCGGAGGAACAUGUGGUUUAAUUCGAUGAUACGCGAGGAACCUUACCCGGGCUUAAAUUGCAUUUGAAUAAUCUGGAAACAGGUUAGCCGCAAGGCAAAUGUGAAGGUGCUGCAUGGUUGUCGUCAGCUCGUGCCGUGAGGUGUCGGCUUAAGUGCCAUAACGAGCGCAACCCUUAUCUUUAGUUACUAACAGGUCAUGCUGAGGACUCUAGAGAGACUGCCGUCGUAAGAUGUGAGGAAGGUGGGGAUGACGUCAAAUCAGCACGGCCCUUACGUCCGGGGCUACACACGUGUUACAAUGGGGGGUACAGAAGGCAGCUACCUGGUGACAGGAUGCUAAUCCCAAAAGCCUCUCUCAGUUCGGAUCGAAGUCUGCAACCCGACUUCGUGAAGCUGGAUUCGCUAGUAAUCGCGCAUCAGCCAUGGCGCGGUGAAUACGUUCCCGGGCCUUGUACACACCGCCCGUCAAGCCAUGAAAGCCGGGGGUACCUGAAGUACGUAACCGCAAGGAGCGUCCUAGGGUA
rnacentral:rRNA from 1 species